rnacentral:tRNA from 1 species
GGGGCUGUGGCCUAGUCUGGUAAGGCGAUGGGCUCCAGCUACCCGUCGAUCGUGAGUUCGAAUCUCACCAGCCCCA